UCGAAAGACAUUCAUUCAAGAAAUUCUAACGUGAUUAUCGUAAAUAGCUGGAAUUGUAGAUAUUUACAAUGACAUAGAUCAUUUUUCUUCGACGAAAUUACGGCCUAAUGUCAAGACAAGAAUAAUAUGACGCUGAUCUGUGUUUUGACAAGAAUAUGAAUGAUCUUAAGAAAAGGCUUCACUGAAUCAAUUGAAAGACAGCGUCUUCAAUUGUCCUACUAAAUUCUUUACAGAUGACAUCUGGGUCUGGGGAGAUCAUGCAAAAAAAUAAGACAUCAUUUAUAACUUUCAACCUUCCGCUCACAGGACAAAUUCUCGAAGACGCUACGGAAAGAUGCUGAGCUUGAUCAUAAUUCUUCAGGCUCCCAAUUCAAGAAUACAAUUACUUAGCGUGGGUGCUUCUGCUCAGUCUUCGUUUCCUAUCUCCACAUACCAAUCACUCGUUUGUUACUAAUUCGAAUAAUUUACUGCUGUAAGGAGUCGUACCGCCAACUAAAUCUGAAUAACAAUUUGGCUGCUAGAAGUUAAAAAGUAGGCGCUGCAAUGAUUAUGUGGUAUGAUCAGAUUGUGUCGCAACGCUCAGCGGGGUUUUGGCUCAAUGGGACCGCUGCUAAUAAAACGUUUAACUAGCGAAUUUUGGAACACACCCGUUGACAAAAGUAUAAGGAGUCUCUUUCCGUGAGUUCCCCUCUUCCUCUCACUGCACUUCAACUAUGCUUUAUAGCAACCAAGAAGCUAGAAAAUGCCAACUAUUAAAAAGAUAACCUCUUUGGAAGCAAAUAAAACGGAGAUUAUCUUGGGAUCUAUUUCACAAAUUUACGGCUAAUUGGAAUGAACAGCGCCAAGUAGCACUGGUCAAACUGCAGAGAGUAUUAGAACUUGCUUUAUUCCGUAUAUCGUACUUUAGGUCGUCAGUUUUACCACUUCGGUACGCAAAUGAAAAUAAAAAGCUCAUUCACAACUUAGACACAAUUUCGCCGUUUACAAGUAGCUGAAAAGUCCAUCUAUCGAAUUAUGAAUGAUACUAUUUUAAAUAUAGUCGUUGCUGCACUCGUUUUCCAUGUUCUUUUUAUCCACACAUACGAUGUUUUACUUACAGUUGAGCAUCUCAGGGCCAGCGACAAAUAUAAACAUAUUAUACUCAAAAUGAAGCUCGUUGAAAAGAGAAUAUUUCUUAACCUCUUUUACAGUGUUUUCAACACCUUUUCAUCUGUGUGCCAUGUCAGAUUAAGGAUGCUCAACUUUUCGAAUUAUUAUUACAAAUUUCAAAGAAAUUACUAGUCCUUUUUGUCCCCUAAUGUAUCCCUCAUUUCAUACCGUCGUUUUGGGGUUCCAACUACGUAUAGCUUUCAAGUGUGGUUUUACGGUAAGAACAACCCCCCAUCGGUUGGUGCGGAAUACUUUCCUAUUCUCAUCGAGAGCCGAGCCAUACACCUAAGGUGGACAGAAAGCUAAAAUUCCAAAACAGAAAAAUCUAACAUCUUUGCUCCCUUACAAGUAGGAACGCUAGCGUAUCAACCCAUCUCCAGAUUUGCCCAGCAUUUCUGUAGAACACCCAAUGCGAAUGAAGACUAAUGAAUAUUGUAAAGACAAAAAAUAGGAAAAGUUUAAUUGGUGAUGGUUCUCACCACCCCAAAACGGUCACUUGCAUGCAUUGAGGACAUGCACCUGCAGUACUUGUUUUUCUCGAAUGUUUUUUACCAUCUCUUUUUUCCUUAUCUGAGCUGCUGACGCAGACGGACAUUGUUUCAUAUUUCGAAAGCUGUGCGGGAAAACGGACCCUAACACGAAUGUGAAUGCGCUAAUCGGUAUUUCCACCACAUGAAACCUGCUACUUUUUCAGUCCUCUUCGUAUGCAUUUCCCAAAAUUCAUUCGUAGCCUUGUCAACUUAGACUCAGUUCCACGGCGUGCAGGACGGGGUAUUAUGAAUAAAAGGAUCCACGGGUGAGAUUUGUUCUAUGUUUUAGGUAUGGAGUUUUGUACCACAAAACUUUAGGAAUACCGGAUUGUGUGCCUACGCCAGCCCCAGAGUAUGUUCUCACAGCUGUAAUUCCUAGUGAUCUUUUCCUGGCUCCAAUAGGAACGCCGGCAGGCAAAUUAAACUUUCGCGGCAGGAAAAAAAAGGCUUUUUCUUUUUUGCCUUUCAGUUUCUCGGAAUGUGGCAUUACAUAAGCAAAAUCCUUUUUGGGUGUGCCUGGAAAGUUCAAAUUAAGGUUUUUUUCUUCUGUUUUCUUGACAAGAAAAUGUCGCCCAAAGAGUUUCGGCCGUUAUUUUCCUAUCGAAGUGGGUCCUUUUUGUCUUUAGUCCUUCUCUGGGGCUAGCGAUCACUGCAAAAUUAGGCUUUACUGGUACGAGUUAACUUUUUUUCUUUUUUUUUGUCAUCCUUUUCUUUGGGGCUAAGAAUGGACUUCCCUUUUCUUUUUCUUUGUUGCAGCAGUGGCUUCAAAGAACUGCUGAUUGCUCAAGGCAAUCAGUCCGAGCGUUUAGAAGGUGAUUGUAGACAGAAAUUAACUUUGCGGUAAAAGAAUGACAUUCUUUCUUAAAAGAAAAAUUAGCUUUUUUUUGUCAGGCAUUGCACAAACUUUUUUAUUUCUGCCUAUACUCUUAAACAGAUCAGUCAUUCAUGUUGUCUUUUUAACGAUCGUACUGGGACAUCGCAUGCCUUGGGAUUCCGUAAUUAGGUGCAACAAUACGGGCACAACUCAUUCUGCGCUAUCUUCACGGACAGAACUUCUAUUGCCUAUCGGUGGUGUGAUUAACAAUUGGAAGCGCAGAGCUUGGAAUGGAUUUUCAAUUCAAUGGAUUUGGAGGUAUUCGUUUGUUUACUAAUAUUUACUUUGAGGACAUUGCCCAACCCUAAAAGUGCCUGUUCCAGAAUAGAAUAACAUUAUGAUACGUUUUCUUGACCGCUGAGCAAUUUAAAGCAACUAUUAGGGUACGAUUGUUUCUAGAGAAAUGUGGGUCAUCUUUUUAGGUCCGUUCUCUUCUGAUGAGGUAACCUUUACAAAAAUGUCAUAGAGUUACCAAUUGGGAUUCAAGGCAUCAUCGCAAUAUACUUCGUUCUUUUACGGAGAAAUUAAGCUCUUUCCACUUUGAAUUAACUGUUAGACUUGUCUUAUCUGAGGAAUGUCCGUGUUCAAAUUAAAUAAAAAUUUAGGGCAGUUUUAUUUACCUUAACAAAUAUGUUCAAGCAUGUAGGU
rnacentral:sRNA from 1 species